GUAUGCACUCACUAACUCCUAAGUCGCUCUGGAUAAGAGCGUCUGCUAAAUGACAAAAAUGUAAUGAGUGAUGACGUCAAGGGAGACAUGAAGAAACAUUGGAAUUGCUGAUCCUGCCAAAAGAUUUAUCCUUUUCUGUAAUUGUUAUAUUGCCUCUUAUUGGUGCUGGAUACCUCCAUCUAGUGGUGUCUCCAGCUCCCUACUCUAUUAGAAUCCUGUCUUAUGUAUUCUGAGGAAACGUUCCCGUGGUAAUAUGUAGAAGCAAUAAAUGAUGACGUUUCUCUGUCCGCUUUUGUAUAUUUCGGAUACAAUGUAGAUCACGCAUUCUAUUGUUGCUAGGUACUGAUAUAUUUAGGAUAUAAUGUAGAUCACGCAUUCUAUUGUUGCUAGGUACUGAUAUAUUUCGGAUAGAAUGUAGAUCACGCAUUCUAUUGUUGCUAGGUACUGAUAUAAUGUAGAUCACGCAUUCUAUUGUUGCUAGGUACUGAUAUAAUGUAGAUCACGCAUUCUAUUGUUGCUAGGUACUGAUAUAAUGUAGAUCACGCAUUCUAUUGUUGCUAGGUACUGAUAUAAUGUAGAUCACGCAUUCUAUUGUUGCUAGGUACUGAUAUAAUGUAGAUCACGCAUUCUAUUGUUGCUAGGUACUGAUGUAUAGAUGUUCUAAUGUGUUUUCUUGCCGAUCACGUGACAUGUAAUUCUCAUUGAAAUAGAAGCCAGAUGUCUGUUCCCGCUGAUGACGGUCUGAGGCACUAACGCUUAUUUUGGUUUCCCCUUUUAUUUAGGCCCUUCUUUCCUGUACUGUGAUAUAUUCUUUGGGCACCAGGAUGUUUCAAUAAACAUCUUUAUUUUGCUUUCAA